rnacentral:rRNA from 1 species
UACGGAGGGUGCAAGCGUUAUCCGGAUUCACUGGGUUUAAAGGGUGCGUAGGUGGGUUGGUAAGUCAGUGGUGAAAUCCCCGAGCUUAACUUGGGAACUGCCAUUGAUACUAUUAAUCUUGAAUACUGUGGAGGUCAGCAGAAUAUGUCAUGUAGCGGUGAAAUGCUUAGAUAUGACAUAGAAUACCAAUUGCGAAGGCAGCUGGCUACACAAAUAUUGACACUGAUGCACGAAAGCGUGGGGAGCGAACAGG